GGGGACGAGGGAAAUUUGAAAUCACUCCGGAGCCACCCCUCCGCUCCUCCUCCACAGGCGCCGCCUCCCGGCCCCCCGGCAGGUUAAAUCACCCCCGGGAUAACAGGCCUUCAAGGGGACCCCGCCGACGUCCCCCAACCCUCAAGACUCCUCCCAGGGCCCGUCUUCCCCGCCCCCACUCCGACCACGGACACAGACGCGCAGGUCUGGAUGCGGGGGCCCAGAGAAGGAAGAGCCCCCACCGGAGUCACACAGCAGCCGGGUCUCCCCUUUACCCCCACUCCAGCCGCAGUGCCACCUGGGCCCUGCGGUGUCCCCGCGGGUCAGUCAUCCCGCUCUGGACCCUCGGACUAGUCCUUCCUCCCUCCCUCCUACCCCGCUGGCCCUUUGUCGGCCAUCUUGAGGGGAGGGGAGGGAGAGCAGAGGAGCGAAGACAGGUCCCUGGCUGGGUUCUGGGGUACAGCUGGCAUCACUCGAAGGAGAAGCCCCAGUCUGUUAGAGGUCUCGACGGCCUCUGCCCUUAAAGGGGCAUUGAACUAUUGGAAAACAGCACUUCCUGAUAUUUCUCAUACCUGGUAUUUACGCUGACAGUAUUUGUUUACCUGCAUAUUGUGUGUCUCCAGGUAUGAGACUGUGAGGGCAAGGUCUCAGUGUGUCUCAGCACACAGUUAGAUGCUGAAUAAAUGUUGAAUGAAUGAAAGAACAAAUGAAUGAUGACAAGAUGGCCCACAAAGGCCGUAGGUGAGCAGGCUCCAGCCUGCCUUCCCAGGCGUCUCCUAGCCUUGCCCCUCCCUCACUUCAUCUAACCUUCUCACCUCCUUGCUCUUCCUCAAAUACAUCAAGCAUGUUUCUGGAUGUUCUUUGCCCAGAUCUCUACACCAUUCAGUUUUCUCCCAAAAUGUCACCUUCUGGAAAGAUUUUUCUGACCAACCUGCCUGAACAGUCUCCCCUCCUUCACUCCUAUUUCAUUCGCUUUGUAGCACGUAUAGCCAUUUGAAAUUGCUUUGCAUAUUUCCUUGUUUACAUCUUUCUUAUUCUUGUUUUACACACACACACACACACACACACACACACACACACACACACUGUGAACUCUACUCCAUGAGGGCAGAAACCGCAUCUGUCUGUCCUGUUCCAAGCUGUUUCUAGUGCCUACAAGGAGGAGUUCAAUACAAGUUUGUUGAAUGAAUGAACACGGGUUUCCUGACUCCUGGGCUCCGAAAACCACAGCUUUUUCCCUUCAUCUCUCACCAGGAACCCAGAGACAGGCUAAGGAGAUUCGAAAGUGAAAUGGACUCAGCAACCAGGAAAGCCUCAUGUGAAUGAGUGGCAGGAACUCCUUGACCUUCUGGCACAAACAUCCAAAAUUGGGUUCCAGUCAGUUGGUGCAGGAAGAAGAUCUCUCAAGAGGGCCUGUGGCUUGUGCCCACCAUCUGUGUUUUCCUCAGCCACAGAGAGAGAAGACUUCAGGGGAUUGCUGCUGGGACCAUUGAAUGCAUUUAAAUGAACACAUUGAUGCUGGAUUACCCAGUUAGGCAGACAAGGCUUUGGCCCCCAGUGAAAUAUUUUUAAGAAAGAUUUUGCUUUUUAUUCUCCCAGACCCCCAAGAUUUUUCUUUUUGAUAUUUAAAAAAUAUAUAUAGAUGUUACUACAUGCACACAAACUUUUUUUUCUAGACUGAUUUCAGAUUUUCCUCUGGUUGCAUAGAGGUGCAACAGUGCUUACUUAAAAAUUUAUUGUAACAGAUCACAAUCAUGAUGUGAUGGUAAUCAAUAUUUAUUAAGGAAACGACAAAAAUUCUAUGCUUAAAGGACAUUUGCUCUGUCAUCAAAAAACCAUAGAUAAGAGCAUGUUCUUGCUCUUAGGAAAUAAACACGGAAGUAUUGAGGCAUAAAGGGGCACAAUGUCACCAAUUUGCCCUUCUAUGGUUCAGAAACAAUAAUAUGCAUGUAUAUGGGAGAGGGAGAAUGGAAAGCAAAUGGGGCAAAAAUGUAAGCAAAUGGAGAAUCUGGUUAAAAAGACAUUCAUGAGUUCCUUGUGCUAGUCUUACAACUCCUCUGUAAAUUAGAGAUUAUCUCAAAUAAAAAGAUUAUCUCCCCCCAAAAAGAUUAACAUUAAAAAGAAAAAACACACAUACAUACAGACAUCCUUGAUGCCCUCAUGCUAAUAAAUCAACACAUUGAUGGGCUUUUGCCUGUGUUGUGAUUAAAUAUUAUAUUUGUAUAGAAUUAUACCAUCAUCUUUUCAGCUUUUAGAGCAGCUACAGGUUUUUAAUAACACUUGAAAAGUGCCUGAUGAGCAGUUAACUUCUCCAUAUAUGGUCAGUAUUUUUAUGAGCAAGUGACUUCACCUCUCUGUGCCUCAAUUUCUUCACCUGUAAAAUGGAGGUAGUAAUAGUACCACGUUGUAGGGUUGUU